rnacentral:rRNA from 1 species
UACGAAGGGGGCUAGCGUUGCUCGGAAUCACUGGGCGUAAAGCGCACGUAGGCGGCUUUUUAAGUCAGAGGUGAAAUCCUGGAGCUCAACUCCAGAACUGCCUUUGAUACUGGAGAGCUUGAGUCCGGGAGAGGUGAGUGGAACUGCGAGUGUAGAGGUGAAAUUCGUAGAUAUUCGCAAGAACACCAGUGGCGAAGGCAGCUCACUGGCCCGGUACUGACGCUGAGGUGCGAAAGCGUGGGGAGCAAACAGG